rnacentral:lncRNA from 1 species
ACCAAAUCCAUUUAAAUUGUAGAUUGAAAAUAAAAAUUUAACUGCAUAAUACCUUUGUGUACCCAAAUGGCAUACAUAUAUGUAACUUGAAUCAAAAAAAAGAUCUCAUACAUAUACACGAACAAGAGACUGUGAACCCAACUUUAUGAGAAGAAAGCGAGAAUAUAAUGGAUGCUUAUAGAUUUUCGAUUGCUUUUCCCUCUAAAAUAGUUCCUGCAACAUCCUUAAAAUCCUCAGAUCAUACAUACAUAUAAGUUCCAAUAAUUUGUCACAAAAUAAAGAAUAUAAUUAGUUAGUUAACACAAAACAUUGAAAUUUUUUUUUAAAGAAAGCGCAUCUCCUUCCACGAUAUGUCCAAGUAUUGCUCUCAAAAGAAAUAUUGCCAAGGUGAAACAAAUUUAAGCUUUGAAGGGUAAAAGAAAUAGCAAAAACAGUCUAAUAAUCAAGUAAAAAUUACCUAGAAUCGGUUAAGGGAUGCAUAGGCUAUCGAGGUUAAGAGUGCUGGUGGUGUUCUUUAUUAUACUUUUGACGAUACUCUGCACUAUAGAAUGAGAAGCCAGAAGUUCUAAGCAAUUAAUUGUAAUGAGUUAUUAUGUACAUCUCUUUAGGACCCCGUUAAAAAAUUAACACAGUUAUAACUUUUCAUUACUCUCUCUAAU